GCAAACUCACGCCGUAAAAGCAAACUAGCACUGCUAAAGCAGACUCGCGCUGCAAAAGCAAAUCGAGCUGCAACAGUGAGACAGCCUGUCACAAUACAGUUUCUGUGCUCCCAACCGUGUGUCAAGCUCUGCCUUAUAAGGGCAUUGUGCAGCCUGCUUUCUAACAUUGUCUGCCGUGAAGCAGUUUGCUAAUGCAGGGGUGUAGGAAGGUAUUUUUAGUGUGGUACGGUCAGCCAUCUGAGAUACAGUGUACUCGUGGGGAGAGGGGUUGCUGAGCCGAAACAUUUGGAAAUCGUACGCACUGCCGGGCUCCCGCGCGGGGCCCCACGCAAGCAUUCGCAACCGCGAUGUACGUACGGCAUGUCGUAUAAGCCACCUAUCAGCCUUGGGUGCAAGCUCACCCAAGGCCACCCUCGCAAGGCAGGAACAAGUAAAGACAUUCACCAGUUGUUUGCUGUGCCUACCCGCCGCAGAAAUUAUUUGAAAUUGUCUCUUCUCCGCUCUCAGCGAUAGUCUUACACCCACCAUGGCUUUCUCGCAGGCACAAAGGGAGUCUAUCCAGCAGAUCGUGGCAGGCAGCGUGGCAGCAGCCCUCAGCGGCAACGCACCGGAGAACGUCACGGAGCACCAAGAAGACGGCUUGCAAGCCGCGCGCAUAACAUCCCGCCGGAUGUCCACCUCCCGCCGGAGGAUCGCCUACAGACACCGCCGCCGCAAGCAAUGGCUCCGCGAGCCAACGCUUCGCCGCCCGCUGUCUAUUGUUCUGUGUGUCUAUCCAGGGUCGCUAGCCCGCUCGCAUUACAUCCCGCCGAACAUAUAACUCCCGCCGGAGAAUCGCUUACAGACACUGCCGCUGCAAGCUACGGCUCCACCGAACCAAGGCUUCGCCGCCUGCUGUCUUUUGUUCUGUGUGUCUGUCCAGGGUCGCCAGCCCCGCUUGCAUAACAUCCCGCCGGAUGUCCACCUCCCGCCGGAGGAUCGCUUACCGCCGCAAGCCACAGCUACGCAAGCCAACGCUUACGUGCCACCCCCAUGCGCCCACCCGCAAGGCUAAGUACCUAUGGAUUAGGCCAAUAGCAGAGGCUCCCACCCCGCGGGGCUGGGGGAGGGGGGCUCUCGGGUCGUAUUUGCAUUAGCCCCACAGGAUGAGGGCGAACCUCGGCCAAACCAGUACAGGAACGCCCCGCCGAGGUCAAGGGGGAGAUCUCCCACUAGCAUAACCCACGGGUCCCCUGCUUACAAUCCACAGCCACGCCGCCGGGCCAGUGUGUUCCGGGAAGCGGGCCGCUGUUCAGCGACCCGGCGCAGCACGCAUACACCGCAGCUUGGCCGCCGUACCAUCCUGCCUGU